rnacentral:rRNA from 1 species
AGAGCGAACGCUGGCGGCAGGCCUAACACAUGCAAGUCGAGCGCCCGUAGCAAUACGGGAGCGGCAGACGGGAUAGUAACACGUGGGAACGCGCCCCUCGGUUCGGAAUAACUCAGGGAAACUUGAGCUAAUACCGGAUACGCCCUUACGGGGAAAGAUUUAUUGCCGAAGGAACGGCCCGCGUCCGAUUAGCUAGUUGGUGAGGUAAUGGCUCACCAAGGCGACGAUCGGUAGCUGGUCUGAGAGGAUGACCAGCAUCACUGGGACUGAGACACGGCCCAGACUCCUACGGGAGGCAGCAGUGGGGAAUAUUGGACAAUGGGCGCAAGCCUGAUCCAGCCAUGCCGCGUGGAUGAUGAAGGCCUUAGGGUUGUAAAGUCCUUUUAACGGGGAAGAUAAUGACGGUACCCGUAGAAUAAGCCCCGGCUAACUUCGUGCCAGCAGCCGC